rnacentral:lncRNA from 1 species
AACCUCUGGAAGCACUAUAGUAUGAGCCCGCUAACACAAUUAACUUGCAGUUAAUGACGAUGCCCCCGCCAGAACUAAUUAAGCCAGUGGUGCUUGUAGCACAAAAGAUUGGGGCCUGUUUUAAAGCAUCAAUUGUGACAUCAUUUAGAAGUCAUUUCAAACUCCUCCAAACUCCAAAACUAUUCCUCUGAAAACAAAUGCAGUAUAAUGUUCUUAGAGUUGUUGGUUUUAUUUUCUGCUGUCAAAAAUCUGACAAAAGUCAGUUGAAACUGUCAAGGAAAAACAUCACACCAUAUGAGAUUUUCCUCAAAUUUGAAGUCUAUAGAAGGAAUGACAAAUCUGUUUUAUAGAUUUUUCUAGCACAAAAGCAAAUUAGGAAAGUCUAGGAGACACACUAUCACAAUACAUACAUGAGGUUGCGCUUGACGCAGUUCGUAAAUUUGAGGCCAUGACAAAGAAUUAAAAUUAGAUCAAUUUGGUUUUGAUCUGAAUUAUCUGUUCAGCUUAAAGUACAGAAGGAUCAAUGGGAUGGAUGUUUUUGUGCGUAUUUUUUCUACACACAACUCACAUUAAGAGACAAGGAGAAUUUCUUCUGCUCACAUCCCUAGAGGAUCUCUUUGUAAAGGCCCCUCUGGCCUUCAUUUUUUUUUUUUUUUUUUUUGGUCUGAACUAUCAGUAAAGACUCCACCUCUGCUGGGUAAUAUUUCGUUGAUUGUUUGAUUUAUGGACUGAUUGCUUUGGUUGACUGUUUUCUUGUAUCUGUCCAGUGUCUAAUACUGUGAUGUGCACUGCAAGGAAUUUAGGUAAAUUAUCUUCCCUAUGCUCAAGUACUUCCUUCUCCAUGGUAGAGACCCCUAGUUACUCUCUCGAUUUCUUCUUUCAUCCUUCUGUAGUAGCGCCUUUCAAAUUGCAGGCAUCCCCCAUUUGUUGGUCACAAACAACAUUUAUUUUAUAAACUAUAAAAAUAUUAAAUGUUGGCCAAGCAUGAUGGCCCAUGCCUGUAAUCCCAGCAUUUUGGGAGGUCAAGGUGGGCAGAUCACUUGAGGCCAGGAGUUUGAGACCAGCCUGUCCGACAUGAUGAAACCCCGUCUCUACUAAAAAUACAAAAAUUAACAGGGCAUGGUGGCAGGCACCUGUAAUCCCAGCUA